AGAGUUUGAUCCUGGCUCAGGAUGAACGCUAGCGGCAGGCCUAACACAUGCAAGUCGAGCGGUAGAGAGAAGCUUGCUUCUCUUGAGAGCGGCGGACGGGUGAGUAAUGCCUAGGAAUCUGCCUGGUAGUGGGGGAUAACGUUCGGAAACGGACGCUAAUACCGCAUACGUCCUACGGGAGAAAGCAGGGGACCUUCGGGCCUUGCGCUAUCAGAUGAGCCUAGGUCGGAUUAGCUAGUUGGUGAGGUAAUGGCUCACCAAGGCGACGAUCCGUAACUGGUCUGAGAGGAUGAUCAGUCACACUGGAACUGAGACACGGUCCAGACUCCUACGGGAGGCAGCAGUGGGGAAUAUUGCACAAUGGGCGCAAGCCUGAUGCAGCCAUGCCGCGUGUAUGAAGAAGGCCUUCGGGUUGUAAAGUACUUUCAGCGGGGAGGAAGGGAGUAAAGUUAAUACCUUUGCUCAUUGACGUUACCCGCAGAAGAAGCACCGGCUAACUCCGUGCCAGCAGCCGCGGUAAUACGGAGGGUGCGAGCGUUAUCCGGAAUCAUUGGGUUUAAAGGGUCCGUAGGCGGGGCAUUAAGUCAGGGGUGAAAGUUUUCGGCUCAACCGGAAAAUUGCCUUUGAUACUGGUGUUCUUGAGAGACAUGGCAGUGGUUAGAAUGUGUAGUGUAGCGGUGAAAUGCAUAGAUAUUACACAGAAUACCGAUUGCGAAGGCAGAUCACUACGUGUAAUCUGACGCUGAUGGACGAAAGCGUGGGUAGCAAAUGGGAUUAGAUACCCCAGUAGUCCACGCUGUAAACGAUGGUCACUAGCUGUUUGAUUUUAGGAUUGAGUGGCUAAGCGAAAGUGAUAAGUGACCCACCUGGGGAGUACGGUCGCAAGAUUGAAACUCAAAGGAAUUGACGGGGGCCCGCACAAGCGGUGGAGCAUGUGGUUUAAUUCGAAGCAACGCGAAGAACCUUACCUGGCCUUGACAUCCUGCGAACUUUCUAGAGAUAGAUUGGUGCCUUCGGGAACGCAGAGACAGGUGCUGCAUGGCUGUCG
rnacentral:rRNA from 1 species